rnacentral:misc_RNA from 1 species
AACGCACAUUGCGCCCGCUAGCAUUCUGGCGGGCAUGCCUGUUCGAGCGUCAUCUCAACCCCUCGGGAAGCCCCUAGCGGCGGACCGGCGUCGGGGGAACCGCCCUCGCGGGCGGCCCCCUAGAACCAUCGGCGGGAAGCGCUGGCCACCCGGGCGUAGUCACUCGACAUCUCGCCCCGGGGAGGACUCGCGGCCUGGCCGCUAAACAACCCACAUUUUAGUACGUGUGGCCUCGAAUCAGGUAGGAAUACCCGCUGAACUUAA